rnacentral:rRNA from 1 species
GACAUAUGGGGCGAGCGUUACUCGGAUUUACUAGGCGUAAAGCGCGUGUAGGCGGAUGCCUAAGUCUGGUGUGAAAUCUCCCGGCUCAACUGGGAGGGGUCGCCGGAAACUAGGCAUCUAGAGUGAGGUAGGGGGUACGAGAAUUCCCGGUGUAGCGGUGAAAUGCGUAGAUAUCGGGAGGAAUACCAAUGGCGAAGGCACGUACCUGGGCCUCCACUGACGCUCAGACGCGAAAGCUAGGGUAGCAAACAGG